GAUGAACGCUGGCGGCGUGCCUAAUACAUGCAAGUCGAGCGAACAGAUGAGGAGCUUGCUCCUCUGACGUUAGCGGCGGACGGGUGAGUAACACGUGUAUAACCUACCUAUAAGACUGGGAUAACUUCGGGAAACCGGAGCUAAUACCGGAUAAUAUAUUGAACCGCAUGGUUCAAUAGUGAAAGACGGUUUUGCUGUCACUUCUAGAUGGUUCCGCGCCGCAUUAGCUAGUUGGUAAGGUAACGGCCUACUAAGGCGACGAUGCGUAGCCGACCGGAGGGGGUGGUCGGCCACACUAGAACGGGGACAGGGACCAGGCGCCUACGAGAGGCAGCAGUAGGGAAUCUUCGGCAAAAGGGGAGAACCUGGCGGAGCAGCGCCGCGUGUGUGAUGAAGGUCUUCGGAUCGGAAAGCUCGGUUUUUAGGGGAAAACAAAUGUGUAAGUAACUGUGCACGUCUUGACGGUACCUAAUCAGAAAGCCACGGCUAACUACGUG
rnacentral:rRNA from 1 species